rnacentral:lncRNA from 1 species
GUUUUGACGGGUGGGUUUGGGCGGAUUUGCGGGUUUGCGGGUACAAUUGCCAUCCCUAAUUACAAUGUACGUGUAAUACACGGUUAAUUAAUUAACUAUUUUCUAAUUUCUUUAUCCUUCCCUGCUUGUACGAAAUUGUAGUACGAGUAUCAGUGGAUGGCAGAUGAUGAUUCCUAUUGCUUGCUUUGCUGCAACAGAGUACAAAUUUUGGACUCAAACAUAUCUUUCUUUCCGAAUUUACUAAUUAACAGUUAUUUAUCCACUGAUUUCAUUUUCUUUCAUAAGUUUCCUUGUACUAAUUUUGCGGAGUUUGGAUUAGCUAAUGAGCUAAGAGCUGGGAAUGGUAAGGCUGCAAAAUUUGCAACCAAAGCGACAUUUAUUUCGUUAAAAUUUGCAAACAAAAUUUGUUUCCCACGAAUGAAAAAUUAUGAUAAUUUUUUAAUUUAUUUCAUUUUGCAUAUAAAGAUAACAUAAAUUAAAGCGACAUUUUUUAUCAAGGAGAUGCAGCUGCAUUCAUGGGAUCCCGAGGCACUCGGUCACUCACUUCAUUUUUCAUUCAUUGUAUUCACUUAAUCCGGUGAUUUAAAAAUAGUAUUUAUGUCUCAAUAAUCACAUGUCAAUUUACAUUAAAAUUUUAAAUUUUAUUAUUAUUCUAUUGUCUCCUAUAGGCAAAUUUUGUGACUCCAAUCAACCAUUUGAUAUCAAGAUUAACAUCAAUAAUUAUAAAACAAACUGUAUUAUAUUAAUACUUCAAUAAUUAUUCAAGAGACAUACGGAUUGUUUAUAAAUUUCAACAUAUGAUGAUAAUACAAUCCACAUCCAGAAAUACUCAACAAAUCAAGCAAUAUGAUACAGACCAUAAAUAUAAUCCUCACACAUAUAAUAUAAUCAUUAAUUACAUGAUCAUCAAUUAAUAGAAGAGAACAAAGCUUUAGCCACUGCCACCUGCAUGAAAUUGGCUCCUGGGAAUACCGUGGUGGUUAGUUAGAUCGAUUGCAGGGGCCUCAGGUUUCACAUUCUGGUCGUCCUCCUCCGCCAGUACCCGGCCGCUACUCCUAUGAUGCACGUCAUAGGAAUAGGUUUCGGUAUUUAAAGCCCUUCCGUUUGCAGCCAAGCAAGAGCACAGCAGUACCGCAAGCACCACAGCAAGCCCUAAAAGCCUCAUUCUUCCACUCAUUUGAUCUCUUCUCCGAUCACUGUUAUAUAAAGUUCGGACAAAAUUCAAGUUUAAUAAUGCAUCUGAGUCUCAUUUAUAUAUACGAUAAAAUUUAUAACAAAUUUUUUUUUUCUUUUCAAAAAAGAAAAAAGCAAUAACAAGAAGAUUAUAGAUGGUCAGAUAAUAACAAUAUCUACGCCUAGUUGGAGAUGCAUUUAGGAUAUUUACUUACCUAGCUAAAGAUUGAGAGCUAAGAGUUUGGUGAUGAUUUGUGCGGAGGAAUGAGAAGUUUGAACUCUUUAUAUAGAGGCAUAUGCUAGGGUUAAUCGACGGAUAUAAUAUAAAUUAACUUGGUGGAAAACAUUUUGGGUUUUCCCGGUGCAUGCUCUCUCAUCCGUUGAUUCUUGCUACGUAUGUAUUUGCUCUAACAUAAUUAAAUGAGAGAUACACAUGUUAAGAAUCAAACAGAUAACAGAGUAUAAACAAAAAAAUAUCCAAGAUUUUCUCAAUUUGUUGAUGGAUUUAUCCACCAAGAGAGGCAAUAUUAAGUGGGAUGGCCAUAUUAUCUAAUAAAAAUUAUUUUUAAAACUAUUAGAAUGAUAGAGUUAAGCAAAACGAUUUCUCCAAAUCAGCACUAUGAAUAGGAAAUUUCCACAUUAGCAAAUAGACAAUUCUAAACCAAAAGUCAACUAGGCACAAGGGAGAAGCUGUUGCAUUGUGAUGUCAAACCAUACUCUUAAUAAGUAACUCAUACGUCUUCAAACCUUCCUUAGAACUUAACAUUUGUGAAGCGGGUUUAAUUCUGGCGAGAUAUUUGGAGGUUGUUCUGGAUUAAAGAUUAAGCACUUAUUGCCAAAUUAAUUAAAUUAUAGUUUUGG